rnacentral:snRNA from 1 species
GUGCUCGCUUCGGCGGCACAUAUACUAAAAUUGGAAUGAUGAAGAGAUUAGCAUGGCACUUGCACUAGGAUGACAUGAAAAUUCCGUAUUUAA